UGUGCCCAUCUUCCUCUACUUUAUAUGUGGGACGCCUACCACAGCAUGGCUUUUUGCCAAGCGGUGCCAUGUCUGCACCCAGGAUCCGAACCGGUGAACCCCGGGCCGGCCCCGUUGGUUCUGAUUGUAACAGAUACUUGGCCCAGCAGAGUCCCUGACACACUGGAGGUGCUCAGCACAUCUUUGGCGAAUGAAUUAAUGAACAAACUGAUUGUAUGAAGCCCAGCCAAGCCCUGGAUUUUCUCAUGGAAAACGAGGGAUGGACAGGAGCAGACAGUUCCUGAAUAGUCCUCGCUCUGGCGGGAACACCACCCUGCAAAAAGCAUACGGGACACACAGUGAGCCAGCAAAUGCUUUCUUGUAAGCACUCCUGCAUUUCCUACUUUCCAUCAAAACCCCUUUGAGGAGAGGGCGGAGAAUGACGGCUGAGUGAUUAUGACUGAGGACCGCAAUCACCAUGCUCUGGGCACCUUCGUCACAUCUCCCUCUCCCAGGCGUCCCCUGUUCCCUGCUCUCCUUCUCCCUGGCGGCGGCAGAGCCAUUCGAUGGCGGGCAGGCGACUGCUGGUUAGGUUCAGGCAAAAGUCACCAUCACUGGCGUUUAGGCUGGUUCUCUUUGCUCUGUUCCCCUCCCCUGUUGUCCAUUUUCCCCAGACAUAGAUUAAUCACAAGUUAAUAGGAGCCGAAAGCUCAACAAUAGCGGAAUGUUUUCGGGGCGGAUUUUUCUGCCUUUCUUUUGGCUGCUCUGAGAUUUCUAUCAAUGCUGCAUCUGUUGGCUAAAUCAAAUCUUUCAAAGGUAACACAUGAUCAUGGCUGCUGGGAUUCGUCUAUGACAAUCCAGUUGUGGAGGGGACACGGAAGAUGCCUGACACACAGGCACUGUCUUUCUCAAGGUUAUUCCUUUAUGAAGGGGAUGACUUCUUUGUGUGUGCUACAAAGUGUCUGUAAAGGGAAUAAAGUGUGGGGAAUCUCACCAGCCACUUCCUUCCUUCCCAGGGCAGUGGAUUCGACCUCUUUGAAGCCGCAGGGGCACAGAGCAGAGAGAGGCUGAGGCUAAGAGGGCUGGGCUUUCUUUGGUUGGGGGUUGGGAGUACUUUGUCUCCCUAGGAAAGAUGCUACAAGCCUCUGUUGCAAGCUCUUGCAGAAGUCAGGGGGGAAAUGUAGCUAGGCUUCUGGGGAUCCCACACUCCAUUUCUUGGGGAGUUGAAUGGAUGCUUCCUUCAAAGGCCAUAACAGAACUUCUACCCCCACUGAGCUGAUGAAAGAUGAUGGACAGAUUGGGAAACUGAGACAAAGAGAGAAGUGCAUAUUUGAGACUACAGAGGUAGUUCUGAGGGCAGGACUCAGGGCGCCAGACCCCACCCAGAACCUGCAGCUUAACUGCCUUGAGAUUAGGAGUCUUAGAGUUGUCUCUCUGCUUUUCUUGGAUCCCAAGAGAAAGCUCUGUAGCAGACAAAAGCUCAUGGGAAGAGAGGAGUGACCUGUGUCCACAGAGAGGGAGAGAGCUGCUCUUUGUGUCCAUGAGAAGAAAGCGAAGUGCAGCUCGAGAGAGAGACCAGAGUGAGACCAGAGGCUCCCCACCUCGGGCAGUUUGCCCCCCCGCCCAGGAAACAUUUUUGUUUGUCAGAACUUGGAGUAGGGUGCUGCUACUGGCAUCUGGCACGUAGAUGGGAGGCCAGGGAUACUGCUGAACAUCCUCCAAAGCACAGGACGGACCCUCACAAUGAAGAAUUAUCCAGCCCCAAAUGUCAACAGUGGCGAGGUUGAGAAACUCUGAGUUAGACUGAAGGAAAACUUCGUAUGAAUGUUGGGGUCUCAGUCAGUGGGGCAGUGUGCCAAGAGAAAGGGAUGAAAUAUUUAAAAAGAAAUAGGGUAGCUAUCAGCUCAGGGGCAGAACCACCUAGAGGAAUGGGCUAUCUAAGAUGAGUUGAGUGAUUGUUUUUACUAAAGGGCUGCUCUGUGCCGGGUGCCAUGCAAUGCUGAGGCUGCAGACAUGGUAAAGCCAGGCUCCUCCUGCCUCAUGGAGCCGGGGCUGUGACGCAGCUCCCUGCCAGGAGGCGGACGCAGACACUGAGGAGCCCCCCUCCUAAGAAGCGCUACUGCCUCCCAAUCCCUGAAACACGACUCGCGUUAAAGACGGUAAAGCAAAUAAUCAUCAAUAUUGGAUGGGCUGAGAUUAGCGACGGAGAAGAGGGAGUCCUUCCAGAUUAAUAAUGCAUCGAGGACUCCUUCUGAGGAAGGAUAAAUUAUGCAGGGCAUGCUGCUCGGCACGGGAGGAAAACAAUAGCUCUUUAAUUCGGGGCUGGUUAGAUCUCAGGGGCAGGGACUCUCUCUGCUUUGGGCCUCAAUGGCGGCCUCACUUCCUGUCCCUGAGAAGGUCCUCCCUUGGCUUCCCAGCACAGGUGGGGAUUCCUGGUGCUGUCCCCCACCAUGGAACCAUCUGAGGCAGCUGCCUAGUCCCCUGGCCAGCCAUGUGGGACACUUGUGUUUAGAGCCUUAGAGCUCUCAACCUGCCCUCCAGACCCAGCUCAGAUGUCAGCUCCUCCAGGAAGCCUUCCCUGACCAGCAUAGCAGUCUCCUACGGUGUUUUCUGCACACAACCCUGGGUCACUGUUACUUGGGCACACGUUGGGACCCAGCAGGGCCAGCUGUAUAUAUUUCAAUGAUUCUAAGAUGCACUUUCCCCCACAUUUUCACACCGCUGAUAUAAACUGUCGGUGGCACAGCAUGGUUCCAUUGACAGUGUUUUCUUUGUGAGAGUACAUAAAAUAAAGUUUUGCCUCACUACCAAUGUUGUCUUGUAUUUGAAGAAAUACGGUAGAAGGUGCUCAGUGCCUGUGAGCGUUCCAGACCCUAGUUCCUGAGAGCUGGAUUGGUGCUGAGGGACCCUUCAUUUCCUCCAUGAGGUCCAGCCCUGAAGGCACUCGGUGUUUGUUGAAUGAACAAACGAGCGAACGAAUGCUCAGGUUAUAUACCAGCCAGCUGCACUGGCUCCAGGGCCCCCUCUUGAUAGUCUCCUUUCCAACCCUCCUCCCUUGCAGACAGUACGACCCCCCGCCGCUCAGCUCCAGGCACUGAGGACCAAGGACCACUUCCGUCUAAGUCAUAACACUUGCUAAGACGCCUCUGCUUGCAGUGACCAAGUGAUUUUGUGGAGAAUCAAAAGCUGGAAAUGAAGAGGGGCCGAGACCAAAUCCGAGUUGUCCCAGCGACAGGGCUGCAAACAGAGGCGUCUCUGUCUAGCCUACAGCCAGCAGCAGCACCACGCCCCCCGGGCCCGAGGGGAGAAGGGAGACUCCCUCACAGAUAAGAGGCAGCCACAUACAGGGCUGUGGAGGUGUUUGUCUGGGGCCCACAGCCUCACUGAUGACCAGAGGGCGGUGCCAGCUGGUGCAGGAAGCAGGAAGGGAAGGGAGCUGGGAGAGGGGGCCCAGGGAAGCCCGGCUUCUCCACUUCCCAGAUUCAGGCUCCUCAGGAAGCAGGUGGGGCCAGCUUCAGCUCCACUGUCCUCAAGCCCCAAAGGACACAGAGUGAAGCGGGAGGCUGGCCUUAAGUUGAGGCCCUGACGAAGGGCCUGCACUUCAACCAUCCUGCUCCUCCACCCUAGGCAGGGCCUGCUGGUGCAGGCCCCAGGGUGAGCCAUACUGAUUUUAAGGUCCCUUCUGUGGCUCAAGCCCCUGCUUCUGCCCUGGUGGUCAUGACUCUGGGUCCCUUGGGGUCAGGGAGGGCUUGGUUAGAUGCAGAGCAUGUGGAGAGGAAAUGUUCUCCAGGACAAUGCCCCCAGAGCCUGUGGCACUCUGAGCCCAUCCACCUCAGCCCCCCGGUCUGUGUGGCCCCACUCCCACCCCAGCUCCCCUGAGGGUCACCAAGCUCCCUCCUUACUCCUGUAUUUGUGGUCCCAGACUGGCCCAUUUUCAAUGCUGGCAGCCCAGUGCAGUGGACAGAGGCAGGUGGCCUAGGUCCUUGUCCUGACUCUGUGUGGCCUUGGUCUUCUCUUCUUUUCAUCAAAGUGGUUACCGAAGGUGAGAGCUGAUGUCCUAGCUCUUUCUCUGCCCUGCCUGGAUGGUCAGGCUGGAGGUGGGGGAGGGGUCUGUGCCUUGAGAAGCCCCCUCUCCACCUAUGUCCACCCUACCCCUGUCC